rnacentral:rRNA from 1 species
UACAGAGGUCUCAACCGUUGUUCGGAUUCAUUGGGCGUAAAGGGUGCGUAGGCGGUCGCGCAAGUCGGAUGUGAAAUCUCGAGGCUCAACCUCGAAACUGCAUUCGAUACUGCGUGGCUAGAGUGCUGGAGGGGAGACUGGAAUUUACGGUGUAGCAGUGAAAUGCGUAGAUAUCAGGAGGAACACCGAUGGCGAAGGCAGGUCUCUGGGCCGAUACUGACGCUGAGGAGCGAAAGCGUGGGGAGCGAACAGG